AUGGAAAACUUUUGUGGAAAAAUCUAGGAAAAAUCAGUAAAAAAUGGAAAGACGGUUUCCCAAAAAUAGUCUCGAACCGAAAAGUCUAUUGAUUCAGCUGAGUUUCGUUGCCUAUGGAACAGUUUUACGUUCAUUAGUUUUAAUGCGAAUGCUCUAUAAAACAUGCACACUGUUACAGUCCACAGUAGACUAUUGUCAAUAAAAAGCCCGACUGAAAACAUUUUAGUGUCUCGCACAGACCAAGUAGUCGCCCCUAGAAUAAACAAGAACCAACAGCUAAGAUAAGUCUACAGGCUUUGCUGUAGACAGAAUCGUUAGUGUCAGAAAUCUGGAGAUCUGGUGAAUAAACAGUUAAAUCCAACCAAAUCUGUGAUGCAAUUUGCUUCAGCUGUUCUUCAGCUGGCCAACUCAUACAACCUCACUGCCUUAUAAGGGUUUAAAUGAGUUUAAUAGACAUACGCCCAAGUGGUAGUAUUAAAGUCGUAUAACACCGUUGGGUGGUAUGAUUGGACAGUUGAAGCGAAUUGCGUCACAAAUUUCAUUGGCGUUAUCUGUAAAAACGGGAUCGGUAUAUUGCUAGGAAAUGGUGCAGUUGAAAUUUCGUUCCCAACUCCAAGUACAGAGCGGACAAAAUAAACAUUUGCAACGAAUACAUUCCAAUUGAUGUUAUUCAAUCCACAUGGGAUGUGAUACAAACGUACGAUUUUUCCGGCUUUUUUCUGAUCUAAUACAAUCAGUAUUCUACUUCCUCUCUGUUUUUACAGAUCUCGUCCCCAUUUCCUGUAUAGUUAUUCCGGUCCGGUUUGUUUAUCUUCUUCGGUUAUCCAUUUUCGUUGAAUGAUGGAAGAGAAACGUUGAAUAAAAUUGAAGUCAGUCGUGAUGUAGUAAAAAAACAAUUUUUAUUUUUAAAAAUAGGUGAAAGCACUCGUUACAUUCAUAAAGAAAUUAUAGAAACACAAAACAGCAAAAUUGAUUUUUGGGCCCUCUUUUCGGCUUAAUAUUCAAUCCGAAAAGGUAGACACAAAAUUCUGUUGCGUUAAGGAUUGUCUAUUUUAGUUAAGGGUUAAUGAAAACCUUGGGAACAUUGUUACUAUAAAAUGGAAAACAUUUUUCUGUCUGACACAAAUAAACUAAUUGAUGUGACAAAGUCCAACCAAACCCAUACCAUUCCAUUAAAAUUUUUUUUUUUUCUCUCGUUUUUCCUAAUUCUUUCGGGAGUUG